CUCGUUCACUGUGAGACAGUCUGCUGCAGCUGUACAGAUUCAGGUAUUUCUGCUUGUAUGCCUCCUGAGCCUCACUCUGCCUCAGGCUAUGGACAAGGCAUACGAAUGCCUGGCCUGCUCUGGCUCCAAUUCAAAUGAGGUGAACAACAAUUUUAUUGAAUUCCUGCAGCUCUAGCUUGCCCUUCUACAACCACUUGCUACAACUACUAUAACAGCUGCACCCACUACAACUACAAUAGUUGCAGCCACUACAUAAAAGGACACCAAAGAUCAAAGAGUGGUUUUAAGCCUUUGCAUUUGCGUCAAAUUUCUGACAUAGGCACCAUGUUGUGUUUGCCUGUUAUGUUUUUGUUUUUUGUUUAAAAAAAAUUUAACCAUGACUUCUUAAUCAGUCUUUAUGGUCACUAUUGUCUUUAGCUGUCAAAUAAAAUUC